GACGAACGCUGGCGGCGUGCCUUACACAUGCAAGUCGAACGGGAUCCAUGGAGUGCUUGCACUCCGGAAGAUCUAGUGGCGAACGGGUGAGUAACACGUGAGAAACCUGCCCCAGACUCUGGGAUAACUUCGGGAAACCGAUGCUAAUACCGGAUAUUCUCUUUUGAUCGCAUGAUCAGUUGAGGAAAGUUUUUCGGUCUGGGAGGGUCUCGCGACCUAUCAGCUAGUUGGUGAGGUAACGGCCCACCAAGGCAACGACGGGUAGCUGGUUUGAGAGAACGAUCAGCCACACUGGAACUGAGACACGGUCCAGACUCCAACGGGAGGCAGCAGUGGGGAAUCUUGCGCAAUGGGCGAAAGCCUGACGCAGCAACGCCGCGUGCGGGAUGAAGGCUCUCGGGUCGUAAACCGCUUUCAGCAGGGACGAAAAUGACGGUACCUGCAGAAGAAGCUCCGGCUAACUACGUGCCAGCAGCCGCGGUAAAGUC
rnacentral:rRNA from 1 species